AGAGUUGGAAAAACGCAGGAGAGGA
rnacentral:piRNA from 1 species